rnacentral:rRNA from 1 species
ACAUGGGUGAUAAGGUCCGUGUUCGAAAGGGAAACAGCCCAGACCACCAGCUAAGGUCCCAAAAUAUAUGUUAAGUGGAAAAGGAUGUGGCGUUGCCCAGACAACUAGGAUGUUGGCUUAGAAGCAGCCAUCAUUUAAAGAGUGCGUAAUAGCUCACUAGUCGAGUGACACUGCGCCGAAAAUGUACCGGGGCUAAACAUAUUACCGAAGCUGUGGAUUGUCCUUUGGACAAUGGUAGGAGAGCGUUCUAAGGGCGUUGAAGCAUGAUCGUAAGGACAUGUGGAGCGCUUAGAAGUGAGAAUGCCGGUGUGAGUAGCGAAAGACGGGUGAGAAUCCCGUCCACCGAUUGACUAAGGUUUCCAGAGGAAGGCUCGUCCGCUCUGGGUUAGUCGGGUCCUAAGCUGAGGCCGACAGGCGUAGGCGAUGGAUAACAGGUUGAUAUUCCUGUACCAC